GAACCGCAUGGUUCAAAAGUGAAAGACGGUCUUGCUGUCACUUAUAGAUGGAUCCGCGCUGCAUUAGCUAGUUGGUAAGGUAACGGCUUACCAAGGCAACGAUGCGUAGCCGACCUGAGAGGGUGAUCGGCCACACUGGAACUGAGACACGGUCCAGACUCCUACGGGAGGCAGCAGUAGGGAAUCUUCCGCAAUGGGCGAAAGCCUGACGGAGCAACGCCGCGUGAGUGAUGAAGGGUUUCGGCUCGUAAAACUCUGUUAUUAGGGAAGAACAAAUGUGUAAGUAACUGUGCACAUCUUGACGGUACCUAAUCAGAAAGCCACGGCUAACUACGUGCCAGCAGCCGCGGUAAUACGUAGGUGGCAAGCGUUAUCCGGAAUUAUUGGGCGUAAAGCGCGCGUAGGCGGUUUCUUAAGUCUGAUGUGAAAGCCCACGGCUCAACCGGGGAGGGUCAUUGGAAACUGGGAAACUUGAGUGCAGAAGAGGAAAGUGGAAUUCCAUGUGUAGCGGUGAAAUGCGCANAGAUAUGGAGGAACACCAGUGGCGAAGGCGACUUUCUGGUCUGUAACUGACGCUGAUGUGCGAAAGCGUGGGGAUCAAACAGGAUUAGAUACCCUGG
rnacentral:rRNA from 1 species